CCCAUCGUCCCUCCCUCCUACGGCCUUGUGCUCCAGCAGGGGAUACAUUUCUGGUAUGUCACAUUCCGUCUGUUCCUGUGUUUCUUACUCCCACUCCUCCAAUGUUUCUUUCCUUUGUUUCUUCCUCCUGGCCCUCCCAGCAGGCUCGCGUCACGUUUCUGCUUGCUGAGCAGAACAGCCCCGAGGGUCCUCCUCGAGAGAACGUGAUGUGUAGAGGUCUUCUACAGGUAGCUCAUUUUAUUUGGCCAUGAAUGGUUCAUUGCAUGCCAAGGUCACACAUGGUCCUAGUUUGCCAUGAGUGGGACCAUUCCGGUUUUAAAACUUAAAGGCCCCUGUCCCGGGAAAGCUCUCAGUCCCAGGGAAACUGGAACUACUUCAUUCAUGUGGACACUAUUGUCACAUUACUGUGCACUGUUUUUCUCACAUUUAACAGUUGAACCUUAUAGAUGAAAUUGUAAGAGUGAUCCUGAUACCUAAGACGUAGACAUUUAUGAGUAAUCGAUGUGUAUUGAAGGCUCUGUAUAUCUUCAUAGUGUGGAGGUAAAUGCAGCAUUAUGUGUUUGCCCCUGAAUACAUAUCCACUAAAAGCCUAUGAUUGGACCUCAGCCAUCACAUCUGCUCUUGGGGUGUCACACCAGAGUUCUAGAUGGACCCAGAAUUGCAGAGAGACAAGGUCAGGGGAAGGAGCCGGGAAAGAGGUUAACAAGACCACAGAUGCUGCAGAUGCGAUUCACACGAAGAUGUCCUUCCCACCAGCCAGGCCAUCGCUGGCUUUGUAAGACGCAGCCAACUGCCACCAGGUGGCAGAACAAGAUGAGAAAACUGUGCCCCACGGAGUCCCUGAGCCCCUUCUGCUGCAGUUUUUGAGGACAUUUGGGCAGCAGGGAUGUCUCUUCUUCUCUGCACUGCAUGCACCCAGGAAAGGCCAUGUGACGUCUUAGCAAGAAGGAGGCAAACCAUGAGGAGAGCCUUCAGCAGAAACCAA